ACAUAUUGAAAUCAGACAUCAUUUUAUAAGAGAACAUGUUCAAAAUAAAGACAUAAUUCUUGACUAUGUUUGUACUGAAAAAUAAUUAGCCGACAUCUUUACAAAGGCCCUAAGUGAAGAUAGAUUCUGUGAAAUUAGGAGAGAACUAAGAAUCCUUGAUCCAUCUGCUUAAAUAUCUCUCUGAUUCCAAGGAAUCAAUGUCAAAAACUCUUUGAACUCAAUUCUCAUCAUUUCUCUUGGAC
rnacentral:lncRNA from 1 species